rnacentral:lncRNA from 1 species
GUAGAUCUGGUGGUUGCUCCCAUCAGCCAGUUCCCUUUUGCUCUGCUUGGCUGGACUGGCUCUCAGGUAGGUUGUGUGCUGCUGAGGCUGCCAGGGCUGAGGUGAGCCAACCAUACUGAGGGCAGUUACUCCCCCCAGCUUUUUGAGCGGGAACUGCGCCGAUUCAGCCGGAAAGAGAAGGGACUGUGUCUGAAUAGCCAUGGACUGUUUGACCCAGAGCAGGUAUGUCAAGGAUUAGGGUGGGAAACAACCCCCUAGCCUGCUUCCUGGAUCACAGCCUGAAAUGGCCCUAAAUCUCUCCAUCCUGGAACCCAUGGUGCCCAGAUCUUGGUCUUACCUCCCAGAUCCUAGCCCUCCCCAAAAGGCAUCUUGCCUUAGCACUGGGCUCUGCCUCCCCAUCUAGCCUGUCUCCAGGGGAGCCAUCCUGGCUGGGCACCCUGUGCAUUGUGCAAUGGUGCCACUGGGCAUGGCCCCCAGCUUCUGAAGCCUCUGCUUCUGUUGCAGAAGACAUUUUUCCAUGUGGUUUCCGAAGAAGACAUUUUCAGACACCUGGGCCUCAAGUACCUUCCCCCAGAGCAGAGAAAUGCCUGAUCCAGCCCAUCUGCCCUCACUCCUCUUAGGAAACGGGGGGCUGCUGGACACUUUUGAAUAUCUCCAGGCAGAAGAUACGCUGCCACGCCAUAUCCUCAUCUCCAAGUGGAAGAGUCUUUACCUGUGGGAGCGUCUGUGAGGCGCGGCCUUCCUCACACUCCAGCCUUAUAGCUGUGUGAUCAUGGUCAGCAUUCAGCCUCCCCAGGCCUCAGGUUCCCACCUGGGUCAGGAAAUCUGAGCAGUACUCAAGUCAUGGAGCUGUGGCAGAGCCUGCAGUCCCAGUGCGGCAAUUGAGGUGUGGUUGAAUGUCUUCUAUAGGGCACCCCACUCAGUUGCCCAGAAGAGAACCGUGUAUCCCUGCCCUGCACUUGAGCCAUGAGGUGGAAGCUGUAGUUCUUGCUCUUAGGAGUCCUCUGUGGAGGUUAAAAUGGGUAUGCUGCAAUCACCUGGAAUGAGUGAAGGUCCAAGUCACGAGAACUUCCAAUGCUGGGAUUUUGGCACUGCAGCCCCUACCCUGCUUCUGCCUUUAAGUCCUAUACUCUCCCUACUUCAAAACAGGUCACACCCUGCCACUUCUUGCUCAUAGUCCUGCGGCAUUCCAAAUCCCCAAAUCCUCAUGUGAUCCCCUAGGGUUCUAGCAUUUCUGCCACCCCUGCCAAUCUCAUCUGCACUCUUCUUUCAAUACCCCCCGCCCCACCCCUCAUUUGCUUCCUGUUUCACUGUUUCCUACUGAUGUGCUCAGACCCCAUGUCUCUGACUCCCUCCCCUUUCUAAGGCAGAAACACUGAAAUGAGCUGGACACACAGGUGUCCUGUGUGUUCCCUGAUCUCCUUCAGGGCCUUUGCCUUUGCCACUCUUCGCCUCCUUCAGGACUUGACUCAAGGUCAUCUUGUCAGUCACAGCUUCCCAGACUACUCACCACAUCACAAAGUGUUUUUUAAAUUAACAUGCAAUAAAAUGCUAUCUUUUAAGGUUUGUUUUUAAUGAGCUUUAACACAGGUAUAGACUCUGCCAUCUCAGGACCCAAAGGUCUGUCCCCCAAGCAUUGCCUUAUGCCAUUGCAUUAUUGCCACAUGUUCUUUAUCCCAACUCACUCAUUUUGUUCACUUAUCUACAAUUUUGCCCUCUCCAGAAUCUCAUAGAAGUGGAACCAAAUUCUCCCUUUUACUUGCCUCUCUCUCAUCAUGCCUUUGAGAUUCACUCAGGUUUUUGCAUAUAUUGAUAGUUUAUUUUUAUUUAUUGCCACAUAAUAUUACAUUCAUGGGGUGUUCCAGGAUUUAUCUGUUCAGCUACUGAAGAAUGUUUAGAUUGUUUCCAGGGUUUGGUGAUUAUGAAUAGAGCUACUGUAGCCAUGUGUAUAUAGAUUAGUGGGUAACAUACCUUUUCAGUUCUCUUGGGUAAAUAUGAAGGUAUAGGAAUAUUGGGUUAUAUGAAAAGUAUGUUUUUAAGAAAGAGCUAAAUUGUUCAGAAUGCCUGUCAUUUUCCAUUUUAUCAGCAGUGUGAGCCACCCAUAUAAGUUAAACAUUUCAUAGUAGCAGUUACUGUGUAUCUGUCAGCAAUUGAUAAUUUUGGUUUUUAUUUUAGCUGUUCUAUGAUAGGUCUGUAGCACUAAUUAACUGCCUUCCUUUUUUUUUUUCCCCUUUCCCUUCCUUUCUGGGGAUUGAAACCACGGGCUUGUGAAAUAGUAAGCUCACACUCUGCCAUUGAGCUAUAAUCCCAGCCCAUUUAUUAUGGUGGGUUUUUUUUGGUGUGUGUGUGUGUGUGUUUGUGUUUGUGUGUGUGUGUGUGGCAGGACUAGGGUUUGAUACCAGGGCCUUGCAAAUGUUAGGCAAGCACUCUACUCUGGGCCACAUCCCCAUCAAUACUUUUAUUUAUUUUUAUGUGAUGCUGAGGAUUGAACCCAGUACCUCACACAUGCUAGGUAAGCACUCUAACACUGAGCUACAACCCCAGCUCCCCAUCCUUUUUUAUUUUGGGAUAAGGUCUCUAAGUUGCCCAGACUGCUUUGAAGUUUCAAUCCUCUUACCUCUGUCUCCUGAGUAUCUGGGAUGAAGGCAUGACCACCGUGCUCAGCUGUUAUUUUUUUGUUUUUGUUUUAGGAGCAGUCUUUUAUUUAUUUAUGUUUGCAGUCUUUUGUUUUUAUACACUUUGACAAAGAGGUUUUCAGGAGGCAAUCUUUUCAGUGGAAAAUAGAGAACAUGAAAAUUUGCCUCCAGCUAUCAGUAGCUGCUCUGUUCAGAGUCUGUCAUCCCACUUGCUCAAGGAAUGAAGUGGAGGGGUGUAUUUCCCUUCCUUUCCUAGCUGAUUUCAGUACUUUAUCCUCCCAACACCUGUACUAGGGUUUGAACCCCAAGGGGUGCUUAACCACCGAGCCACAUCCCUAGUCCUUUUUUAUUUUUUAUUUAGACAGGGUCUUACUGAGAUGCUUAGGGCCUUGCUAAAUUGUUGAGUCUGGCUUUGAACUCAUGAUCCUCCUGUAACUGGGGUUACAGGUCUGCCCUCGAAUCCUACUGCUUCUUGAUGGUAUUCAUGUGUUUUGUCAUUUUCUGCCUAAGCAUAUAUUCUGUGAAAUCAAAUCUGUUUUGUACUCUAUGCCUAGAUGUUAUUGGUUUUAUGUGCACAUGCUCUCCAUUCUUUUUCAAAAGCAUGGCAUUGAAUAGGAACUUUGGAUUGUCAUCUAAUGGUCUAUAUUAAGGCCCAGCCUUUUCUGCACAUCAGAAAAAGGCAUGGCACUUGGUUCACACCUGUAAUCCCAGGAACUCGGGAGAUGAGGCAGAAGGAUUGCAAGUUUGAGGUCUCAGAUUUUUUAAAAUGACAGGGAUGUAACUCAGAGGUAGCACUCCCCUGGGUUUAGUUCCCCCGCAAAAAAAGGGGGAAAAAAUGGCAUGACAUCCUGCCAUACAGCCCUUAUCUUCUUGCUGCCACUGCUUUCAGUGGAAGUUUAGAUUGUUAAUUUGAGAUCUUUCUUUUUUCCUAAUAUAAGCACGUAAUGCUUUAAAUUUCCCUCUGAGCAUUACUUUAGCUUCAUCCUACAAAUUUGAUGUAUUGUGGUUUUUUUGGUGGGGGAGAUGGGUACUGGAUAUUGAACCCAGAGGCGCUUAACCACUGAACCACAUCUCCAGCCCUUUCUAUUUUUCAUUUUGUGACAUGGUCUCAGUAAGUUGCUUAGGACCUCACUAAAUUGCUGAGGCUGGCUUUGGACUUGUGAUUCUCCUGCCUCCACCACUCAAAUUGCUGGGAUUAAAGCUGUGUGUCACUGUGCCCACGGAGUAUAUUUUUAUUUUUUAUUCAAUUGGAAAUGUUUCCUUUUUUGGUGGGGGGAGGAGGGUACCAGGGAUAUUGGACCACAUACUGAGCCCCAUCCCCAGCCUUUGUUUGCAUUUCAUUUAGAGAUUGUCUCGCUGAGUUGCUUAGUGCCUUGCUUUUGCUGAGGCUGGAUUUGAACUUUCGAUCCUCUGCCUCAGCCUCCUGAACCACUGGGAUUACAGUGUGAGCCACCAUGCCCAGCAAAAAUGUUUUCUAGGGCUGGGGAUGUGGCUCAAGCGGUAGCACGCUCGUCUGGCAUGCGUGCGGCCUGGGUUCGAUCCUCAGCACCACAUACAAACAAAGAUGUUGUGUCCGCCAAUAACUAAAAAAUAAAUAUUAAAAAAACUCAAAAAAAAGUGUGGGAUAAUAUUAAAACAAAUACACUUUGAAAAAAAAAUGUUUUCUAAUUCUUCUUGAGACUUUUUCCUUGAUCCAUGGAAUAUUUAGAAGAGUGUGUUCUGUUUCCAAGUGUUGGAAGGUUUUUCCCAUUUAUAUAUAUAUAUAUAUAUAUAUAUAUAUAUAUAUAUAUACACACACACAUAUAUGUAUAUGUGUGUAUAUGUGUGUAUAUGUGUAUAUAUGUAUGUGUAUAUGUGUAUAUAUGUAUGUGUAUAUGUGUACAUAUGUAUGUGUAUAUAUGUACAUAUGUGUGUAUGUGUAUAUAUGUAUACAUAUGUGUAUGUGUAUAUAUGUAUACAUAUGUGUGUAUGUGUAUAUAUGUACAUAUGUGUGUAUGUGUAUAUAUGUACAUAUGUGUGUAUGUGUAUAUAUGUAUGUAUAUAUAUGUGUGUAUAUGUAUAUAUAUGUGCGUGUGUAUAUGUAUAUAUGUAUGUAUGUGUAUAUACGUGUAUAUAUGUAUGUAUGUAUAUAUGUAUGUGUGUAUAUGUGUAUAUAUAUGUAUAUGUGUAUAUAUGUAUAGGUGUAUAUAUAUGUAUAGGUGUGUAUGUGUGUAUGUGUGUGUAUAUGUGUGUAUAUGUGUGUGUAUGUGUUAAUUGACACUAUUGUUCACAUCUAUAUCCUUAUUUAUUUUCUGUCUAGUGAAUUACUAAGAGGAGACUUGAUGUCUUUUUUUCUUUUUUUGGUAUUGGGAAUUGAACCCAGGGGCACUUUACCACUGAGCUACAUCCCCAGAAUUUUUUAUUUUUUAUUUUUGAGAGAAGGUCUUGCAAAGCUGGCCUUGAAUUUGUGAUUCUCCUGCUUCAGCCUCCUGAGUCACGUGGGAUUAUGGUGGGGUUAUGGAAGUGACCAUACCCAAUCUGAAGUCUUAAACUAUAAUUGUAGAUUCCUUCAUUUCUCCUUUCAGUUAUUUCAUAUUGUGAUUCAUGUACUUGGAAGCUCUGUUGUAGGAAUUUUUAUAUCUUCUUAGUAUCAUUGUUAUAUAAUGUCCUUUUAUUCCUAAUAUAUUUUCUUGUUCUGAAAUCUACUUUGUUUUUUUUUUUUUUUUUUUUUUUUUUAAAGUGUAACUUCCCCCAUGCGAUUAUUACAUUUCUCUUUUUUAUUUUUUUUUUAAUGAGAGAGGGAGGGGGGGAGAGAGAGAGAGAGAAUUUUUAAUAUUUAUUUUUUAGUUUUCGGCGGACACAACAUCUUUGUUUGUAUGUGGUGCUGAGAAUCGAACCCGGGCCUCACGCAUGCCAGGAGAGCGCGCUACCGCUUGAGCCACAUCCCCAGCCCCCUGAAAUCUACUUUGAUAGAAAUAUAUCUGUUCCAGCUUUUGAUUAGUGUUUGAGUGAUAUAUCCUUUUCCUUCUAACCUACAUAAUUUUUGCCUUUUUUGGGGGGUGGGUAGGUACCAGGGAUUGAACUCAGAAGCACUGAACCACUGAGCCACAUCCCCAGUCCUAUUUUCUAUUUUAUUUAGGGACAAGGUCUCACUGAGUUGCUUAGUACCUCGCUGUUGCUGAGGCUGGCUUUGAACUCUCGAUCCUCCUGUCUCAGCCUCCCUAGCCCCUGGGAUUACAGACAUGUGCCACUGCACCUGGAAAUAUAUUUUUGCCUUUUAUUAUUUGUUUUGGGGGUGAAAUUGGACUCUGGGUCUUAUGCAUAUUAAACAUGUGCUCUACCACUUGGCUCUCAGCCUACCUUUUACUGUUUUUUGUUUGUUUGUUUGAUUUUUGUUGUGCUGGGGAUGGAAUCUGGGAACUUGUGCAUGCUAGGAAGGUACUCUAUCACUGAACUAUCCCACCACAAUCACCUAUCUGUCUUUUUCAUGAUAACNACACUCUGCCAUUGAGCUAUAAUCCCAGCCCAUUUAUUAUGGUGGGUUUUUUUUGGUGUGUGUGUGUGUGGCAGGACUAGGGUUUGAUACCAGGGCCUUGCAAAUGUUAGGCAAGCACUCUACUCUGGGCCACAUCCCCAUCAAUACUUUUAUUUAUUUUUAUGUGAUGCUGAGGAUUGAACCCAGUACCUCACACAUGCUAGGUAAGCACUCUAACACUGAGCUACAACCCCAGCUCCCCAUCCUUUUUUAUUUUGGGAUAAGGUCUCUAAGUUGCCCAGACUGCUUUGAAGUUUCAAUCCUCUUACCUCUGUCUCCUGAGUAUCUGGGAUGAAGGCAUGACCACCGUGCUCAGCUGUUAUUUUUUUGUUUUUGUUUUAGGAGCAGUCUUUUAUUUAUUUAUGUUUGCAGUCUUUUGUUUUUAUACACUUUGACAAAGAGGUUUUCAGGAGGCAAUCUUUUCAGUGGAAAAUAGAGAACAUGAAAAUUUGCCUCCAGCUAUCAGUAGCUGCUCUGUUCAGAGUCUGUCAUCCCACUUGCUCAAGGAAUGAAGUGGAGGGGUGUAUUUCCCUUCCUUUCCUAGCUGAUUUCAGUACUUUAUCCUCCCAACACCUGUACUAGGGUUUGAACCCCAAGGGGUGCUUAACCACCGAGCCAC